rnacentral:misc_RNA from 1 species
UACGUAGGGGGCGAGCGUUGUCCGGAUUUAUUGGGCGUAAAGCGCACGCAGGCGGUCUGGUAAGUCGGAUGUGAAAUUCCGGGGCUCAACCCCGAAACGCCAUUCGAUACUGUCGGACUUGAGGUAGGUAGGGGAGAGUGGAAUUCCUGGUGUAGCGGUGAAAUGCGUAGAUAUCAGGAGGAACACCGGUGGCGAAGGCGGCUCUCUGGGCCUUACCUGACGCUCAUGUGCGAAAGCUGGGGUAGCAAACAGG